ACACAUUCCAGCCAAUCAGCAGCAGACCCUCCCUCCCAGACCCUCCCACCACCUGGACAGCAUCCAUUUUACAUUCAUUGUGAAGCUGCAUUCUUAGUGAGCUGUCCAGGAGGUGGGAGGGUCUGGGAGGGAGGGUCUGCUGCUGAUUGGCUGGAAUGUGUCU